rnacentral:rRNA from 1 species
GACGUAAGGUCCAAGCGUUAUUCGGAUUUACUGGGCUUAAAGAGUUCGUAGGCGGCGCAUCAAGUCGGGUGUGAAAGCCCUCGGCUCAACCGAGGAAUUGCGCUCUAAACUACUGAGCUCGAGGAACCUAGAGGUGAGCAGAACUGAUGGUGGAGCGGUGAAAUGCGUUGAUAUCAGCAGGAAUACCGGAGGCGAAGGCGGCUCACUGGGGGUUUUCUGACGCUGAAGAACGAAAGCCAGGGGAGCGAACGGG